CAGGCAUGAGCCACCAUACCAGACUGCCUUUACAUUCUUUAUAAAAUAGUGUAGAUAUAUAUCACUAAUAUGGUGUAGCACACUAAAAUUUUCUAUAAACCAACUUUCUGGGCAGUGAAUUUUUUCCCCCUUAACUUUUAUUAUAUAAUUGGAACUAUACUUUUGUUCAAAAAUGUACAUAAGAUAUUAAUAAAUACUUUUAGCUCAAAUGUUUAUGUUCUCCUCAUCCCUAAUUUAAACCUGUGAUUCUAAUUUUCAUUUAUACACUUAAGAAUAGAAUAUUCAACGAGACAUUUUGAUCUUAUCUGCUAUAUUCUACACCUGGGCUAAGCUCUCUUCCAUUGUACAACAAUUUCUUUCAGGUUCUUUUAUAAUAAGAACCUCAAGAAAAGUUUACAGUCUGCUAGCCUCAUAAACUAUUCAGUUCCACUCAGGAAGUUGAUCAGAACCAACACUGAACCUCACUAAUUUGCUUCAGACUCCAUUUGUGGAUCAAUCCUGAUUUCUAGAUCAUAGCAUCUAACCCUUUGUUUGCCUCACCUCUGGUUUACAGGGUGGGUCUCACUCCCAGACCCAAUGUUUCCUUCCACUACUCUGAGAGUUAGCUCACUCCUAGUACUUCAGGGUAAAUUUUCUGCCACAUCUGGCUUCAUCUCAAGAACCUAACCCUAAAAAGUAUAAGCUGUGGCUGAUAUUUCUGCAGAGCUUCUCUGGUCCCCCCAGACUAGGAAUUAGAUGAGUGUCUGGCAACAGUCCAAAAUUCAGGCAUAUUGCUAAAGAGAUGAAAACUCACCUCCGCUGCACAUGACUCCAACUUGUGUCAUGUUCAGUGUCAGAACAUCACAUGGCCAUUCAUAUGAAUUACUUCAUUUAGUGUUUCUAAAACUGCAUCACAAUUUUUUUUGCCAGAUCCAAGAAUCACAAAUACUAUUAUUUGUUUAAUAUUUUCUUUAACCUUUUAUAAAACACUUAACUACAUUUAUUUUAAAGGAAACAUUAUAUUGCUUUGGUAAGUGGAAAACAUUUCAAUUGAUAAAAGAUUUUAUAAACAAAUACAAUAAAAAAAAAAAAAACAUUCUAUUUAGGUUGCCUGUCAAAGAUCUGAGCCCAAGCCCUACUCUCAAUUUGUUAAAAAAGGAAGAUUGGUAAGCAUUGGACAUAUUAUCAUCAACCUAAAACUUUUCUACUUAGCAUAAUCAGAAAGAUUAAAUGAUACUUAAAAGAGAAUAAAUUUUUUAAAGUGGAAAAUUUUCAUUGUUAUUUUAAUGUUACAGCUACCUAAUAUUACCUCAUGUACUACUAGUCUACAUGUCCCAUACUUUGGGAAACUGAAUGACUUUAAUUACCAUGUGUAAUAAUAAUUAUGAUUAAUUUGGUGAAAGUUAUAGGAAGGGCCUUAAUGGCACAUAUGCCUCAGGGUAUCAAGGCAAGCCAUUGGAAGGUGAAUUUAUAUGAAAGUAUCUAUGUGCUCUGGGAGAAAACUCUGAAAGGAACUUUGGAACUAAGAGGCAUGCUCCAUAGCAGUGAAAUUACAAGGAAAAAUUAUAUGCUCUGGGAGAAAACUCUGAAAGGAACUUUGGAACUAAGAGGCAUGCUCCAUAGCAGUGAAAUUACAAGGAAAAAUUAUAAGAUGAAAGCUUCUCCAGCAUCUGGAAGGGUAGAAAAAGGGGAACCAAGCAGAGGGGUUCACCCAAGCCAACCUUGGGUGCUGCCAUGGGAAAGAAAGACUUCACUAAGAAUAAAAGGUGACACCAAGGCUCAAAAGGAGGAGAAAUUCUAUGGGUCUCUUGAACAGUAGGGAUUUGCUCCCUGAUCCCUGGAAGUACCCCCAGAAUGUGACAAGAUCUCAAAAUGAAUGGCUGCUUCAGAGAGACUGGAACAUUGGCCUGGGACUCCCACUAGCCAAACAUAGCUGAGCUGGCUGGAUUGUAACAGUUUGGUGGAUCUGAGGUCGGUAAAUACGUAUUGGUUGGCAACUAUUAUUAUAUGUCAAUCAUUAUUCUAGGUUCUGGGGAUACAGGAAUGAAUGAUAUGAAGUAUCUACUAUCAAUGAGCUUACAUUCCAGUGAGUAAGAACAGAAAACACAUUUAAAAAUGAAUGAAUUAAGAUAUUGUUAACUGUAGUGAUGGAAAAAAUUAGCACAAGAAAGAACAAAAGACAAUGUCUGAAGUUAUUGGCAGUUAGGGGGAAAAGGGACUAGUUUAAUUAGUUAAUCAGGAAAGAUCUGCUUUGAGGGUGUAUCCAGGUUUUCUGGGACCUGAUAUCUAUACAAGUUUCUUUUUUUUAAGAAAAAGGAUUUUAAAUGACAAAUACUCAAGCACAGGGACUUGGAACGGGUCCAUUCAAAUGAGAGGCCCUGAAGUUUCACAGUAAAUCUGUCCCUGGCUGGAACUUGAAUGUUGGAGAAGAGAGUUGAAGCGAUCACGAAGUCUAGGAUAGAUGUUCCAGCAUUAACUCAUGUGCAAAUGCAACUGAUGACUACAUAUGUAUGAUCUCAGAAACUUGACAUGCAACUCUGGUGGAGGUAAAAGAUCACUAAGAAUGACUGAUAUUGAAUUCCCCACUGGCCAGGUGGUAAAGGUGAAACUAAGUUCUUUAGAAAAAAUCAGGGAAGAUGACCUUGAGGAAUCUUUAAGUGAGAUGCAUUCCCAGUACAUAUGUAAAGAGCCUUACAUAUAUUUGGUAUGUAUUGAGGGCUUGCAUUCUUUUUCUAUUGCUGCUGUAAGCAUACUAAAACAAUACCCACUUAUUCUCUCACAGUUCUCUAAGUCAAAAGUAUGGGUGGAUUUAGCUGGAUUGUAUGCUCAGAGUCUCACAGGCCAAAAGCAAGGUGUCAGCUGGGCUGGGCUUUUAUCUGGAGGCUCUGGGUAAGAAUCUGCAUCCAGUCUCAUUCAGGUUGUUGACAGAAUUCAGUUCCUUGCAGUUGCACGAGUGAGGUCUCUGUUUUCUUACUAGCUGUCUGCUGGGGGUCACUCUCCAAUAUUGGAGGCCUCUCUCUGUUUUUUACACAUGGGCCCCUCCAUCUUCAAAGCCCACAACGGUGUGUCAAAUCUUUCUCAUGCUUUGCUUCAAAGUUAAAGAAAUGAAUAAAACAUUGUCCUUUAGGUUAAGGAGUACAGUUUAGUGAAGGAAACUGAUACUAAAACAGAUAAUUUUAAUACAAGGUAAGAGCUAAAUACUUAUAAAGAAUUUACCAAGUGCCCAUUCCUGUUACAAGCAGUGUUUGUAUAUUUUACCUUACAGGGUAAGGGAAGGGAGAUAUGAUAGAUAGAAGAAUGCAGGGUGUGCACGGAUGAGGAUACCUUUAGGGGUUACGGGAAGAGGCAGAUAGGAGUGGCCUCUCAGGGAAAUCUUUGAGAAGGUAAUGAUACGUGAACUCAUCCUCAAGGAAGAGUAGGAAUUAGCUAGUCAUAAACAUGAUGUAUGUAUGUCCUGGGUGUGUGUGUGUGUGUGUGUGUGUGUGUGUGUGUGUGUGUGUGUGUGUAGGGGUAGAUUUUAUAUUCAUAAAGGCAGGAAGAGGAACAGUUUAGUAGUAUCAGAACACAAAGCAACAAGAAAGUCAUAACAGGAUACAAAAUUGGAGAAAUAGAGAGUAACCUAAUCACCAAGUCUUCUAUAGGAACUUGAGGACAUAUUUAUCAUAAAAAUAAUGAUGGGAAUGAUUGAAGGUUUUUAAAAAGUGUCACAAAGAAUUAUUUGGAGUAGCUCAGAUAGCCCCAGGUGAAAUGUAAAGAAAGCUUAAUUUAUCUUUGAAACUUUUCUCUCUUCCCUAAACAUUAAUCCUGUGACUCAUUCUUGUUAUUAGCAGACAAUUCUUGACCUAAACUGAGAAUUAAGAGCUUGUUAAUAAGGUCUAAAAUAUGGCCUAUCUCAUUUCAGAAGAAAUUUCUCAGAGACUGAAAAGUCAUCAGUGCAAUGACAAGCUGUUGAAACCCUCAUAUUUUUAGACUAGAAUGGACGACGACUUUUUCUAUUUGAAAGGCUGGCUUGAAUGUCAGCUGGAGUUGUAGAGGUGGCAUCUCUUUAUUGACUCAGUCUAUGCCAGGCCCAACAGCAAGUAAUAACUUCUUAAAGCAUUUAUUUUCUCAUUUUAAAAAUGAAGAUGAUGACAAUUACAGAAUUGUUCAGAGGAUUAAAUGAGAUGAUGCAAGGUGCCUGUCAGUGGUAUGCAGUCAAAAACAUCAGUCCUUCAUCCUAGUAAUCAUGAUGAUGUACUACUCUAGCAGGUAACACUGUGGAGAUACUGGUAUAAGUGCUCAACCUCAAUAUGUUAACAGUGACCAUUAAACUUUAUUCCUUAUUCAGAUAGAGCUCAGUACACUUUUGUGUGUAAUCAAAUAAAUAUGUAAAACCACACUAAUUUUAUUGAUUGUUAGA